rnacentral:rRNA from 1 species
AUUGAACGCUGGCGGAAUGCUUUACACAUGCAAGUCGAGCGGCAGCGCGGUAUUCGGGCGGGCGGAGAGCGGCGAACGGGUGAGUAAUGCAUCGGAACAUGCGAAGUCGCGGGGGAUAACACGACGAAAGAAGUGAUAAUACGGCAUAAGUCCAGAGGGGGAAAGCGGGGGAGCGCAAGACCUCGCGAGAUUGGAGUGGCCGAUGUCAGAUUAGCUAGUUGGUGGGGUAAAGGCCUACCAAGGCGACGAUCUGUAGCUGGUCUGAGAGGAUGAUCAGCCACACUGGGACUGAGACACGGCCCAGACUCCUACGGGAGGCAGCAGUGGGGAAUUUUGGACAAUGGGCGCAACCCUGAUCCAGCCAUUCCGCGUGAGUGAAGAAGGCCUUCGGGUUGUAAAGCUCUUUCGGCAGGAACGAAACGCUGCGCUCUAACAUACUCCUCUAAUGACGGUACCUGAAGAAUAAGCACCGGCUAACUACGUG